rnacentral:rRNA from 1 species
UGGCGAACGGGUGAGUAACGCGUAGAUAACCUGCCCUUCAAUCUGGGAUAACCGUACGGGAAACUGGGAUUAAAACCGGAUAUUAUCUUUGAGUGGCAUCAUUUGGAGAUGAAAGAUUCGAUCGUUGAAGGAGGGGUCUGCGUACUAUUAGCUAGUUGGUAAGGUAAUGGCUUACCAAGGCGAUGAUAGUUAGCUGGUCUGAGAGGAUGAUCAGCCACACGUGGGACUGAGAUACCGGCCCAGACUCCUACGGGAGGCAGCAGUGAGGAAUAUUGCACAAUGGGGGCAACCCUGAUGCAGCAACGCCGCGUGAGUGAUGAAGCAGUUUAUCUGUGUAAAGCUCUGUUGAUUGGGACGAAAUUUAAGGUUAGUAGCUUUAAUUGACGGUACCAGUUGAGGAAGCUCCGGCUAACUCCGUG